AACGAGCGCUGGCGGCAUGCCUAACACAUGCAAGUCGAACGAGACCUUCGGGUCUAGUGGCGCACGGGUGCGUAACGCGUGGGAACCUGCCCUUAGGUUCGGAAUAACUCCCCGAAAGGGGUGCUAAUACCGGAUAAUGUCUUCGGACCAAAGAUUUAUCGCCUUUGGAUGGGCCCGCGUUGGAUUAGCUAGUUGGUAGGGUAAAAGCCUACCAAGGCGACGAUACAUAGCUGGUCUGAGAGGAUGAUCAGCCACACUGGGACUGAGACACGGCCCAGACUCCUACGGGAGGCAGCAGUGGGGAAUAUUGGACAAUGGGCGAAAGCCUGAUCCAGCAAUGCCGCGUGAGUGAUGAAGGCCUUAGGGUUGUAAAGCUCUUUUACCCGGGAUGAUAAUGACAGUACCGGGAGAAUAAGCUCCGGCUAACUCCGUG
rnacentral:rRNA from 1 species